rnacentral:rRNA from 1 species
GAACUGUAGAGUUUGAUCCUGGCUCAGAUUGAACGCUGGCGGAAUGCUUUACACAUGCAAGUCGAACGGCAGCACGGGGGCAACCCUGGUGGCGAGUGGCGAACGGGUGAGUAAUACAUCGGAACGUGCCCAGUCGUGGGGGAUAACGUAGCGAAAGCUACGCUAAUACCGCAUACGAUCUACGGAUGAAAGCGGGGGAUCGCAAGACCUCGCGCGAUUGGAGCGGCCGAUGGCAGAUUAGGUAGUUGGUGGGGUAAAGGCUCACCAAGCCGACGAUCUGUAGCUGGUCUGAGAGGACGACCAGCCACACUGGGACUGAGACACGGCCCAGACUCCUACGGGAGGCAGCAGUGGGGAAUU